AAUAUACACAGGCACACACACUGAAGAGUACCUUCUACAUACCCUAGCACAAAGCAGGCAAGCAGAAGGGGUCUGAUACUUAAGAGCCAACUCUCCUGGCCAGUGUGCCAUGUGAAUGAGGAAUCAUUUUCCCUCCAAAUCACUAUUCAAAAGAAUUGCUGUAGCCUUUAGCCAUGGCAUAAAUCUCUAUUUAAAUGAUUCUUACUGGUUUUGCUCAAUGUGAUCAAAGCAUGCAGAUCUUCAGCAUUUUCCAGCAAUGACAAGAUGGGCAAUACAUCCUUGAUUUAAAAAUGGAAACUGUGUACUCUGAGUGCUAGAUAGUGUUUAUUGUAACAGUUGUCUUGCUGAAAUCAGUAAGACUUGAGAUGUGCUGAUCGAAUCAGAAUUUGCCCAUUCUUAUUAGUCUUU